rnacentral:rRNA from 1 species
GACGAACGCUGGCGGCGUGCUUAACACAUGCAAGUCGAACGGAAAGGCCCUGCUUUUGUGGGGUGCUCGAGUGGCGAACGGGUGAGUAACACGUGAGUAACCUGCCCUUGACUUUGGGAUAACUUCAGGAAACUGGGGCUAAUCCCGGAUAGGAGCUCCUGCUGCAUGGUGGGGGUUGGAUAGUUUCGGCGGUUGGGGAUGGACUCGCGGCUUAUCAGCUUGUUGGUGGGGUAGUGGCUUACCAAGGCUUUGACGGGUAGCCGCCCUGGGAGGGUGACCGGCCACAUGGGGCUUGGGGAACGCCCAGGACCCAAACGGGGGGAAUCGGUGGGAAAAUUGGCACAAUGGGCGGAGGCCGGAAACAGAACCGCCGCGUGGGGAAGACCGGCUUUCGGGUGAAAAACGCCUUAGGCUGGUACCGAGCCGUGGUGAAGGUAAAUGGAUAAGAAGCACCGGCUAACUACGUG